rnacentral:rRNA from 1 species
UGCCCAGACUCCUACGGGAGGCAGCAGUGAGGAAUAUUGGUCAAUGGGCGGGAGCCUGAACCAGCCAAGUCGCGUGAGGGACGACGGUCCUAUGGAUUGUAAACCUCUUUUGUCGGGGAACAAAGGCGCCCACGGGUGGGCGGAUGAGUGUACCCGAAGAAAAAGCAUCGGCUAACUCCGUGCCAGCAGCCGCGGUAAUACGGAGGAUGCGAGCGUUAUCCGGAUUUAUUGGGUUUAAAGGGUGCGCAGGCGGAGGUGCAAGUCAGUGGUCAAAUUGCGGGGCUCAACCCCGUCCUGCCGUUGAAACUGCAUCCCUUGAGUGCGCGAGAAGUAUGCGGAAUGCGUGGUGUAGCGGUGAAAUGCAUAGAUAUUAGGAGGAACACCAGUGGCGGAGGCGGCUUACUGGACGGUAACUGACGCUGAGGCUCGAAAGCGUGGGGAGCAAACAGGAUUAGAUACCCGAGUAU